CCAAUAGCGUAUAUUAAAGUUGUUGCAGUUAAAAAGCUCGUAGUUGAAUUUCGAGACCGGCUUACUGGUCGUGCUAUUGUACGUACUGGUAUAAUCGGUUUCUCCUUUCUGACGAACUAUAAUGCCAUUAAUUUGGUGUUUUAGGGAAUCAGGACUGUUACUUUGAAAAAAUUAGAGUGUUUAAAGCAGGCUCACGCUUGAAUACAUUAGCAUGGAAUAACGGAAUAGGACGUUUGAUUCUAUUUUGUUGGUUUCUAGGAUCGACGUAAUGAUUAAUAGGGAUAGUUGGGGGCAUUAGUAUUCAAUUGUCAGAGGUGAAAUUCUUGGAUUUAUUGAAGACUAACUACUGCGAAAGCAUUUGCCAAGGAUGUUUUCAUUAAUCAAGAACGAAAGUUAGGGGAUCGAAGACGAUCAGAUACCGUCGUAGUCUUAACCAUAAACUAUGCCGACUAGGGAUCGGAUGAUGUUAAUUUUUUAAUGACUCAUUCGGCGCCUUACG
rnacentral:rRNA from 1 species